AACGAACGCUGGCGGCAGGCUUAGCACAUGCAAGUCGAGCGCUGUAGCAAUACAGAGCGGCAGACGGGUGAGUAACGCGUGGGAAUCUACCCAUCUCUACGGAAUAACUCAGGGAAACUUGUGCUAAUACCGUAUACGCCCUUAGGGGGAAAGAUUUAUCGGAGAUGGAUGAGCCCGCGUUGGAUUAGCUAGUUGGUGGGUAAAGGCCUACAAGGCACGAUCCGAUAGCUGGUCUGAGAGGAUGAUCAGCCACAUUGGGACUGAGACACGGCCCAAAACUCCUAACGGGAGGCAGCAGUGGGGAAUAUUGGACAAUGGGCGCAAGCCUGAUCCAGCCAUGCCG
rnacentral:rRNA from 1 species